rnacentral:tRNA from 1 species
GUCCCUGUAGCUUAACGGAUAGAGCGCAGCCCUGCGGAGGCUGACAUGUGAGUUCAAUUCUCACCGGGGACA